rnacentral:rRNA from 1 species
AAUUAACGCUGGCGGCGCGCUUAACACAUGCAAGUCGCACGAGAAAGGGAGCAAUCCUGAGUAAAGUGGCGCACGGGUGAGUAACACGUGGGUAUCUACCUUUUUGUGGGGAAUAACUUGGGGAAACCCGAGCUAAUACCGCGUAAGCUCGAGAGAGGAAAGCCGAAAGGCGCAGAAAGAGGAGCCCGCGGCUGAUUAGCUAGUUGGUGAGGUAAUGGCUCACCAAGGCUUAGAUCGGUAGCCGGCCUGAGAGGGCACACGGCCACACUGGCACUGAAACACGGGCCAGACUCCUACGGGAGGCAGCAGUGGGGAAUCUUGCACAAUGGAGGAAACUCUGAUGCAGCGACGCCGCGUGAACGAUGAAGCCCUUCGGGGUGUAAAGUUCUUUCGCCAGGAACGAUAAUGACGGUACCUGGAGAAGAAGCUGCGGCUAACUACGUGCCAGCAGCCGCGGUAAUACGUAGGCAGCAAGCGUUGUUCGGAAUUAUUGGGCGUAAAGAGUAUGUAGGUGGUGUCGUAAGUUUGGUGUGAAAUCUCCUGGCUUAACUGGGAGGGUGCGCCGAAGACUGCGAUGCUUGAGUAUGGGAGAGG